rnacentral:RNase_P_RNA from 1 species
AGAGUUGGCUGAGCAGUCGCCGUUUUAUUGUAAUGAUAAAAGGGAGGAAAGUCCGGGCUUCAUUGGGCAGGGUGCUAGGUAAUGCCUAGGGGGCGUGAGCCUACGACAAGUGCCACAGAAAAUAUACCGCCUAUCACCAUGAUAGGUAAGGGUGAAAUGGUGCGGUAAGAGCGCACCGCGCAGCUGGUAACAGGUGUGGCAGGGUAAACUCCACUCGAAGCAAGAUCAAAUAGAGAAGCAGACGCGUGGCCCGCGCGGCUUCUGGGUAGAUUGCUUGAGCGUUCGGGUGACUGAACGCCUAGAUGAAUGGCUGCUCUCGACAGAACCCGGCUUAUAGGCCGACUCUUUCU